CAGUAGCCGCGGGAAUACGAAGGGGGCUAGCGUUGUUCGGAAUUACUGGGCGUAAAGCGCACGUAGGCGGACAUUUAAGUCAGGGGUGAAAUCCCGGGGCUCAACCCCGGAACUGCCUUUGAUACUGGGUGUCUAGAGUAUGGAAGAGGUGAGUGGAAUUCCGAGUGUAGAGGUGAAAUUCGUAGAUAUUCGGAAGAACACCAGUGGCGAAGGCGACUGACUGGACAAGUAUUGACGCUGAGGUGCGAAAGCGUGGGGAGCAAACAGGAUUAGAUACCCCGGUAGUCCCUGUCUCUUAUAC
rnacentral:rRNA from 1 species